rnacentral:rRNA from 1 species
CCAGGUCAGGGGGGAUUACCCGCUGAAUUUAAGCUUAUCCAUAAGCGGAG